rnacentral:rRNA from 1 species
UUGCGCAGUAUAGGUGGGAGGCGAAGAUUAUAUAUUUGCGGAUGUAUAUGAGCCGCUAGUGAGAUACCACUCUAAUUAAACUAGAAUUCUAAUAUUGAUUGCCAUAAGCUGGCCAAUAAACAGUUUCAGGUGGGCAGUUUGACUGGGGCGGUCGCCUCCUAAAAGGUAACGGAGGCGUGCAAAGGUUUCCUCAGGCUGGUCGGAAAUCAGUCGUAGAGUGCAAAGGCAUAAGGAAGCUUGACUGCGAGACCUACAAGUCGAGCAGAGACGAAAGUCGGCCUUAGUGAUCCGACAGUGCUG